ACACGACUACAUUAGAUACCCGGGUAGUCCUAGCCGUAAACGAUACUCGCUAGGUGUCGGCCACGGUGCGACCGUUGUCGGUGCCGUAGGGAAGCCGUGAAGCGAGCCACCUGGGAAGUACGGCCGCAAGGCUGAAACUUAAAGGAAUUGGCGGGGAGCACCACAACGGGUGGAGCUUGCGGUUUAAUUGGAUUCAACGCCGGAAAUCUUACCGGGACCGACAGCAACAUGAAGGCCAAGCUGAAGACUUUGCCGGAUUAGCUG
rnacentral:rRNA from 1 species